GAUGAACGCUAGCUACAGGCUUAACACAUGCAAGUCGAGGGGCAGCAUGGAAGAAGCUUGCUUCUUCUGAUGGCGACCGGCGCACGGGUGCGUAACGCGUAUCAAACCUGCCUCAUACUCGGGGAUAGCCUUGCGAAAGUAAGAUUAAUACCCGAUGUUGUUAUGUUUCCGCAUGGUGAUAUAACCAAAGAUUUAUCGGUAUGAGAUGGUGAUGCGUCCGAUUAGGUAGUAGGCGGGGUAACGGCCCACCUAGCCAUCGAUCGGUAGGGGUUCUGAGAGGAAGGUCCCCCACACUGGAACUGAGACACGGUCCAGACUCCUACGGGAGGCAGCAGUGAGGAAUAUUGGUCAAUGGACGGAAGUCUGAACCAGCCAAGUAGCGUGCAGGAUGACGGCCCUCCGGGUUGUAAACUGCUUUUAGUUGGGAAUAAAAAGAGGGACGUGUCCCUUCUUGUAUGUACCUUCAGAAAAAGGACCGGCUAAUUCCGUGCCAGCAGCCGCGGUAAUACGGAAGGUCCAGGCGUUAUCCGGAUUUAUUGGGUUUAAAGGGAGCGUAGGCGGAUUAUUAAGUCAGUGGUGAAAGACGGUGGCUCAACCAUCGUUAGCCAUUGAAACUGGUAGUCUUGAGUGCAGACAGGGAUGCUGGAACUCGUGGUGUAGCGGUGAAAUGCUUAGAUAUCACGAUGAACUCCGAUCGCGAAGGCAGGUGUCCGGGCUGCAACUGACGCUGAGGCUCGAAAGUGUGGGUAUCAAACAGG
rnacentral:rRNA from 1 species